rnacentral:rRNA from 1 species
CAGUAGCCACGGGAAAACGUAGGGUCCGAGCGUUGUCCGGAAUUAUUGGGCGUAAAGGGCUCGUAGGCGGUUUGUCACGUCGGGAGUGAAAACUCAGGGCUCAACCCUGAGCGUGCUUCCGAUACGGGCAGACUAGAGGUAUGCAGGGGAGAACGGAAUUCCUGGUGUAGCGGUGGAAUGCGCAGAUAUCAGGAGGAACACCGGUGGCGAAGGCGGUUCUCUGGGCAUUACCUGACGCUGAGGAGCGAAAGCAUGGGGAGCGAACAGGAUUAGAUACCCCGGUAGUCCCUGUCUCUUAUAC